rnacentral:lncRNA from 1 species
UUAGAGUUAUAAAUCUUUGUCAUGAAACUAAACAAACAAAUCGAAUGGAUUUAACCGGUGUCCUAAAAAGUGCAUUUUGGCACAAAUCACCUAGCCACAUAGUCCACUUUUGUAUGCCUAGCUUGUUUAGGCUGGUAAAAUUCCGAAGCUUGACCUUGACAUCUAGUGACAUUUUACGCUUUUUAGAAUAUUGAAUUUAAUAUAUAUAAUUUCAAUAAACUAGUUACAUUCCACUGAUACUGUUUGGCCCCAAAUCUGGAUACACAAGUGAUAAUAGCUUUCAAAUUUCAUUUGGAAUAUAUUUUUCAAUCCAUUUAAACAUAAUUAUGCCCCUGUGAAGUUAUUGUCACGUGAUGUAUUUCUAAUAAUUAUUUGGAAAGUGCAUACAUGUUGAAAAACGUUUAUCAAAAAUUGUAAAAUGCUUGUGUCAACCUAAAUUUCAUUAAAAUUUUCCAUCAACAUUAAAACCUUUGUUAUAUAUGAGAACUUUAAAUUUAGAUUUUUGUUAUAAAUAUUUUUGAUGACUAAAUAAACAAAUUAAAAUAUAUUUAAUGAGUGUUCUAAAAAGAUUGUCCAUGCAUGAAUCCGGGUUUUGACUCCUAGCAACACUUUAUAUUUGUUAUGCCUAGCACAUUUAGGCUUGUAAAAGCUCGAAGUUUGGCAUUGAUGAUUCUACAUACUUUACGUUUUUAGGCUACCAAAUUUCAUAUAUAAAACGAAGUUUAGGAGAUCUAGUUACGUACCACUAAAAUUGUUGACUCCAAAAUAUAGAUAUACAAGUGCUGAUAGGUUUCCAAUUUCAUUUGGAAUAUUUCCUAUCAAUCGAUUUAAACAUAUAGAUUUUAAACUAUCAAAUGUUAAUUGAACACAAAUAGAUGUAAUGAAAUAGAAGACGUACAAACUAAUUUGAUUUUGUUGUGAUGAACCUACGAAGUUAUUGUUGAUUAACUAAUUUGAAGGGGAAGUACUAACUAAUUUGAAAUUGAUGGUUAAGUAACUAUGAAGUUGUUGUUGCAUGAUAUAUUUCUAAUAAUUUUUUUGCAAAAUGUCAUCCAAGCUGAAAAUUAUUUGUAAAAAGAUUGUAAAACGACUAAGAGAUAGCCUAAAGUUCACCUAGAUUCCCAUCAGCAUAAAAAACUUUGUUAAAGGAGACC